rnacentral:lncRNA from 1 species
CACACACCACACCGCACCGCACCGCAGCAGGAAAAGACACUUGUUGCAUUUCUGACAUACCUGGGUGUGUAUGACUGGCAGGUCGGGGGUGUGGUCACAGUCAACCAGAUGGGAGCAGCGAGUACAUUGGAACUCAGACACAGUCUGGCAGGAAUGUGGGCCUCUCAUUUCAAUCAGGCAGAGCUGUAGACACCUCUCAGUGCUAAUGAAGGAUCCCACUCAGUCUUCCCAUGGGCCCAGACACCAACCCAACAUCAGCUGACUGCCCUCUCUCCCUCUCAAACAGACACACAGUUCUCUCUGCCAUCAGUGCUGUGGCUGCUGUUACAGGAGGCCCGGGGCUACACACAUUCACAUUGAAAAUGAAGUUAUGUAGCACAGAUCCAGAACCCCAGUGAACUCUGGGCCAUCUGUGGAUCAUGGGUUUAGUUUGUGACUUGACAGUGAACUUGUUGUCUGGUACGUCGAACACCAUAACACAUUUCUAUCAGGGUCACUGAACGGCUCUUAAAAACACAUGAGACCGAUUCUGAUAGGGACUCCUGACUAAAACUGUUGCCUAGAUCAGGGGUGGCCAAUCCUGUGCUCCUGAAGACCUACUGCAAAAGCUGAAGGGUAGUCUCCCAGGGUAGCACCGUAGAGGCCUACCACACACUCUCUCACACACAUGCACACCUGCUUACGCAUGUCUAGAAGAUCAAUUAGUAUCUAAUGAGAACAUCAGGCCUCGGCAGAAAGCAGUCAAACAACAACACCAUGCUUACACACACACACACAUUGAGGACUAUCCAAUUACUCCUAAUACACAGUUAACACACCGCUAACGAACAAUCAGAGAUUCAGAGAGAGCGAGAGAGAGAGCGAGAGAGAGAGCGAGAGAGAGCGAGAGAGAUUCAGAGAGAGAGAGAGAGAGAUUCAGAGACAUAUUCAGAGGAAGAGGUUCAGAGAGAGCGGUUCAGAGAGAGAGAGAUUGAAAGAGAGAAAGAGGUUCAGAGAGAUAGAUAGAUGGAUAGAUAGAUAGAU